rnacentral:rRNA from 1 species
CGUAACAAGGUCUCCGUAGGUGAACCUGCGNNNNNAUCAUUACACAAAUAUGAAGGCGGGCUGGAACCUCUCGGGGUUACAGCCUUGCUGAAUUAAUCACCCUUGUCUUUUGCGUACUUCUUGUUUCCUUGGUGGGUUCGCCCACCACUAGGACAAACAUAAACCUUUUGUAAUUGCAAUCAGCGUCAGUAACAAAUUAAUAAUUACAACUUUCAACAACGGAUCUCUUGGUUCUGGCAUCGAUGAAGAACGCAGCGAAAUGCGAUAAGUAGUGUGAAUUGCAGAAUUCAGUGAAUCAUCGAAUCUUUGAACGCACAUUGCGCCCUUUGGUAUUCCAAAGGGCAUGCCUGUUCGAGCGUCAUUUGUACCCUCAAGCUUUGCUUGGUGUUGGGCGUCUUGUCUCUAGCUUUGCUGGAGACUCGCCUUAAAGUAAUUGGCAGCCGGCCUACUGGUUUCGGAGCGCAGCACAAGUCGCACUCUCUAUCAGCAAAGGUCUAGCAUCCAUUAAGCCUUUUUUUCAACUUUUGACCUCGGAUCAGGUAGGGAUACCCGCUGAACUUAAGCAUAUCA